rnacentral:tRNA from 1 species
GGCGACGUAGCCAAGUGGCAAGGCAGGGGUCUGCAAAACCCCGAUUCCCCGGUUCGAAUCCGGGCGUCGCCUCCA